rnacentral:misc_RNA from 1 species
AGCAAAGGUACAAAACUUCUUCCAUUUUUCAUCAUCUUCACCUUCAUCUUCUCCGGCAAGUGAGCAAAAGGUAAAACUCUCAAGGAUGAGCAGGUCGGGUCAACCUCCGGAUCUCAAAAAGUAUAUGGACAAGCAGCUUCAAAUCAAGUUGAAUGCAAACCGCUUAGUCACUGGAACACUUCGUGGGUUUGAUCAGUUCAUGAAUUUGGUCAUUGACAACACAGUGGAAGUUAAUGGCAAUGAUAAGAAUGAAAUUGGCAUGGUGGUGAUCCGCGGGAACAGCGUGGUGACAAUUGAAGCAUUGGAGCCUGUCGCUAGACCACAGCAGUAGCUCUUAACGAAUCGUUGUUUAUGCCCCAGAUGCUGCUGCCGCUUGUUUAAAGGAACCUUAGGGAACAUAAGUUUGUACCGUCAGGAUUCAGUAUUCGACUAGAUAACAGUUAAACUUGUCAAUGGAUUUCUGUUUUAAGUUUGAUCAUCAAUUCUCUCUAUUCAAUUAGUGCACUAUGUACUGAAUGCAGUUUGAACGUGUUCCUG